rnacentral:rRNA from 1 species
GUGUCAGCAGCCGCGGUAAUACGUAGGCAGCGAGCGUUGUUCGGAAUUACUGGGCGUAAAGAGUGCGUAGGCGGUGCUUUAAGUUUGGUGUGAAAUCUCCCGGCUCAACCGGGAGGGUGCGCCGAAGACUGGAGUGCUAGAGUGUGGGAGAGGAAAGCGGAAUUCCUGGUGUAGCGGUGAAAUGCGUAGAUAUCAGGAGGAACACCUGCGGUGUAGACGGCUUUCUGGACCACGACUGACGCUGAGGCACGAAAGCGUGGGGAGCAAACAGGAUUAGAUACCCGUGUAGUCC